AGAAUCAAGCAGACCAUUGUAAGGAUGUCUCUGAAAUCUAACACAGGAGCUGACCUCAAUGACCCAGUGGUAAAGGAACAGAUGUUGGAGCAGAUAAGAAAGGAGUUUGUGAAGAAUGGUAACUUCAUCCAAGGCCUACGCUGGAGAGAACUGCCGAAUGGAGAUGUUUUUCGCAAAACAGUUGAACUUGGAAGCCCUGAUGAAGGUCAGUGUGGGUCUGGAUGAAGAGGACCAGUAAAGGCGAUGCAGAAGGAGAGGCAUGGAAGGUCCAAGGAAACCACAUUAUAUAUUAUAUACCUUAUAAUACGUAAUACAAUAUUAUUCUUGUUAAUGUCAUUCAAGUUAUGAUAGUUCGAUUUGUCGUAUGAAGGUAAAAUUAUGAAGUCAAUUUACAUUAGGAUUAAUUUAGACUUUACAAUGUUUGACUAAUAUAACACCAAAUUAUAAUCUAAGAUAUUUGUUGGUGUAUGAAUGUAAUGUAAUAAUGUUUGUUGUACAUCAGGGCAAUUUGGUUAGUGAAGAGAAGAGGAAUUAAAAGGACAUUUGUGGUUUUUCAAGUCUGUUGUUAAGGACAUUUCAGUCAGGGACUUGCAUUGUAAUGAGAAAAAUUAUGUUACACACUCAAUUAUGGAUGCGA